AUUGAACGCUGGCGGCAGGCCUAACACAUGCAAGUCGAGCGGUAACAGAAAGUAGCUUGCUACUUUGCUGACGAGCGGCGGACGGGUGAGUAAUGCUUGGGAACAUGCCUUGAGGUGGGGGACAACAGUUGGAAACGACUGCUAAUACCGCAUAAUGUCUACGGACCAAAGGGGGCUUCGGCUCUCGCCUUUAGAUUGGCCCAAGUGGGAUUAGCUAGUUGGUGAGGUAAUGGCUCACCAAGGCGACGAUCCCUAGCUGGUUUGAGAGGAUGAUCAGCCACACUGGGACUGAGACACGGCCCAGACUCCUACGGGAGGCAGCAGUGGGGAAUAUUGCACAAUGGGCGCAAGCCUGAUGCAGCCAUGCCGCGUGUGUGAAGAAGGCCUUCGGGUUGUAAAGCACUUUCAGUCAGGAGGAAAGCGUGGUGGUUAAUACCCAUCAUNUGUGACGUUACUGACAGAAGAAGCACCGGCUAACUCCGUGCCAGCAGCCGCGGUAAUACGGAGGGUGCGAGCGUUAAUCGGAAUUACUGGGCGUAAAGCGUACNCAGGCGGUUUGUUAAGCGAGAUGUGAAAGCCCCGGGCUCA
rnacentral:rRNA from 1 species